GACGAACGCUGGCGGCGUGCUUAACACAUGCCAGUCGAACGGAAAGGCCCUGCUUUUGUGGGGUGCUCGAGUGGCGAACGGGUGAGUAACACGUGAGUAACCUGCCCUUGACUUUGGGAUAACUUCAGGAAACUGGGGCUAAUACCGGAUAGGAGCUCCUGCUGCAUGGUGGGGGUUGGAAAGUUUCGGCGGUUGGGGAUGGACUCGCGGCUUAUCAGCUUGUUGGUGGGGUAGUGGCUUACCAAGGCUUUGACGGGUAGCCGGCCUGAGAGGGUGACCGGGGACAAGGGGACUGAGAGACGGAGCAGACGGCAACGGGAGGCAGCAGUGGGGAAUAUGGCACAAUGGGCGGGAGCCUGAUGCAGCAACGCCGCGUGCGGGAAGACGGCCUGCGGGGUGUAAACAGCUGUCGCCUGUGACGAAGCGUGAGUGACGGUAAUGGAUGAAGAAGCACCGGCUAACUACGUG
rnacentral:rRNA from 1 species